rnacentral:misc_RNA from 1 species
UAAGCCUCCCUGUGCUCACUGUG